CAGGCCUCUCCUGACAACAGUUCCUGGGAAAAUGGCAUGGAAGGCCAGAGAAUCCACAGUUUUGGGCUACACCCAUCCAGUGAGGAAUCGGUCCCAGCUGUUCUAACUAGGACACUGUGUCCCUCAUCGCUGCCAUCAUCAUCAUCAUCGGCCUCCUGGGAGUCGGUGUCUGGAAGCUCCGAUCCGGGAAGAGGGAGGGGAAUGGAUACGACCCCGCGCCCACCACAGGAAUCACAACCUGAGCAAUCCUGGAGCUGGAUCCGCCCCUUCCCUCUCCCUGUGGAAAGGCAGGAGCUGCUGGCAGAGCUCAUCCCGCUGCUCCCACCCACCCCGGCCACCCUGCGGCUCUUCCCGAUGGAUCAAC